ACUCCAUGGUGAGGACAAGAUCUAGUGUUAACCCUUCAAUCUUUCCCAAGCCUCAUAGAGAGCUUCGUUGGGGCCUUGUUUGAAGCUCGUGAUAUCAUUCCUUAUCCU
rfam:Arabis alpina cultivar Pajares scaff_50609_1_contig_20, whole genome shotgun sequence.